CCUGCACCAGACGGAAGGUGGGGCGUCC
rnacentral:sRNA from 1 species